UUUGCCUUUUCCAGCUCCGAUGUCCUAUAAGAAAAGCAUGAACAGAAGGCAUUGCACAUCAGUAGCCGGGGAAAGAAAACAGCAUGGUUAUUGAAAAAAUGGAAGAGAGUCCUCUAGAGGAAACAGAUCAUUUGGACUUCUUCCAUCUGGAUUCAGGCCAGGACCUAUGAAAUUGGCUGCUUUGGUGGCUGAUGUUUGCUGUGACCUACAUGGAGGAAGUGCAACCUUUCAAAUCUUGUUAAAGUUCUCAAUGGUAUUUCACACCAUCAACUAACCCAUUUUUGAUAGGCAUUCAAUAGUAUUAUACUCUUAAUCAUGUGAUUUUUUUUCUCAAAAUCACCUGUGAUUAGCAUGAAGCAAUAGUACCAUCUUGUGGUCAGACAGGUUGAAAAAAGUUUCUUACAGUUAUUAAACUAUUGUAUUUAAUUCCUAUUAGAAAGGUAAAAGAAACAGAAUUCCACCUUUAAAAAGAUAAAUUGGUAUUAGUGUAAAUAUCAAGUCCAUUAUUAGUCUUAACAUUUUUUUUGUUUUAUUGGAUUUUUAUUUUUAAAUAAACAUCAAUAUCAAUACAUGGA